CCCUCCCUCUGGCGGCAUGCCUAACACAUGCAGGUCGAACGAGACCUUCGGGUCUAGUGGCGCACGGGUGCGUAACGCGUGGGAACCUGCCCUUAGGUUCGGAAUAACUCCCCGAAAGGGGUGCUAAUACCGGAUAAUGUCUUCGGACCAAAGAUUUAUCGCCUUUGGAUGGGCCCGCGUUGGAUUAGCUAGUUGGUAGGGUAAAAGCCUACCAAGGCGACGAUCCAUAGCUGGUCUGAGAGGAUGAUCAGCCACACUGGGACUGAGACACGGCCCAGACUCCUACGGGAGGCAGCAGUGGGGAAUAUUGGACAAUGGGCGAAAGCCUGAUCCAGCAAUGCCGCGUGAGUGAUGAAGGCCUUAGGGUUGUAAAGCUCUUUUACCCGGGAUGAUAAUGACAGUACCGGGAGAAUAAGCUCCGGCUAACUCCGUG
rnacentral:rRNA from 1 species